CAGAACUGAUCAAGUAAUUGUUUUUUGAAAAGAUAGUAGAUCAAGUAUUGGUUUCCCUUGUUGCAAAGCUAAUUAACCUCCUCCUACGAUGGCUGUUUAUUUCUUUUUUCUUUAAUUCUUUAUGAGUGCUUCAGAUCCGACCCUCUUGGAUUAAAGGAGUCAUGGUGUUCUUUUAUAGUGUGCAGCCUGUAAACAUCAAGUACUGUUCUGUUGUUCGGUGUGUGUGUUUUUUGUUUUAUUUGUUUUCAUUUUUACAGUGGAAGGGGUGUUGAUGGCACAGUCGACUAACAAAAUGUCAGCGUGUGGAGAUCUUUAGAUUAAACGCGGCUGCACGAAUGCGACUAUUCUUCCUGCCUGACACCCUGAGGUGGAGGUGCGUGGAGCAUUUAACUUGCAAAAUUGUUUAUAUGUUUAAAUAAAACAGAGGGAACUUUACCUGCAAAUAAUGAGAUAGAGUGGUGCGACACUGUCUCCUACAAAUACGUUUAACCAAUCGAGUUACAGGAGUUUAGGCCACGUUCAGACUGAUGUCAGCACAACUGAGCGUCCACAGCAGGGACGAGCAGAGACAAGAACUCUAAGACUGCCAAGACAAUCCUUCUGGGUAGAAGUCCAGACUAGAAGUUGUGAUUCGUAUCUUCCCGCCGCUUCGAAAUUGUGCCGCAAACAAUCGCACUUUUUGUUUAGUUUUUAUCGGACACCUCUGUUAUUGACGAGGUCUUUGUCUUUAAUUUAUGUUUUAUGUGGCAGAGCAGCAGCUUGGAAACGGCUUGGAAGUGACUGCUGGUUAACAUGUAGUCUUAAAGCUGGGAGUCUAGCCAACCACUAAGCGGCAGGUGAGGGAGACAGGAAGUCGCACAGGAAGUGGACAGUGGACAGUGCAAGAAGCUGAACAACUGAAGGAACAGAAAGGCCUAAAAAGCGACGCAAUGGUGGCUGUGUUUCUGUUAUACAGCAUCUAUAACAGCCACCCACCUACUUGCUGAAACCCCCCCCCCCCCCCAACUCGAUACAAAGCUGCCGAGCUGAUAAGGCGGAGAAAUUUGGAACCAACAAUGUUGAGUUGAGAGGAAAAGUGAUAUCUGGCAGAGCAGGUGUUGAGUUCAUCCACUAUAAUAGAACGAGCACAACAGAGAGAGAGAGACAGGUUGCAGUAGGUGACUGAAGCACUUGGUCGGGCUUAGGGAAAGACCGUGGUGACCACCCGGACCUCUGCCUCGCUACAUAAAGGGCACACUACCUCCUGCUCAUAAGUCCUGGAAGAUUGGGCGGAUAAGCUUGGAGCUUUCUUGGGGCAGUUUCCCACUUUGCCCCAUUGGUAAUCCCCCCCUGUCGACUGGACUGGGAUAUUAUUUGGGUGCAAACACAGUGAAAUAAAACUACUUUACUUUAACCUUUGUCCUUUUUUUCGGUAUUUUAAGGACUGAAAUCUCUUUUUCCUCUUCCCUUCCUGUAAAUCAUUACAGUAUUUUUGAUGACUCAUCUUGAACUCCGACACAUUUUUCCAAUCCCGUGUAAUUUUGGAUGACUAGCUGACCCCACUCAUCAUUUAAAACUGCACCUGACCCGUUAGCUUGUGGGUUGCAGUCGCUGGCGGAGCAAUAUAAUGGGACUCAGCAAUCCACGGAGCAAGCUGUCAGCAGUAUUUAUCUGUUUCUUUGGUAGA